CGGGGAUCCAGGCUGUCCAGGAGAUGGGCAGCGGGAGCUGAGGGCGGCCGGCUCCCGGGCCGCUGCGGGGAGGCUGAGUGCCACCCCCGCUACUCAGUCCGCGGGGCUGGGAUGAAGCUUUCUGGCAAGGAGUUGUGAGUUGGUGCGUGUCACUCUCCACUGGGCGGCGGGGCUCCUCCUAGAGGAAAAUAUUGGUAGUUGCGGGAGACCUCCCUCCUCUCCACCCACCGGGUUCCCCCAAAGAAGUAUCUAGAAGUCCUCAACUUCUGUACAUUCAAAGAGAGCAGUGCACCUCCUGCAGGUAUGGGAAGAAGUCCCUUGGAAAGUGUGAUGAGUCUACUAGAUUUUACCGGUCUAGUUGGUUUUCAAGCUCCUGCUCACUGGGAUUCAGCAUAAAGGACAUUCCCAGUCCGAGAGGUUAAAAAAAAAUGAAGACAAAGCAGGUGAUUUACCAAGAAUGCAUUCCUGUUUGAAGAGAGCUAUGCUAAUACGGGACAUAGGUCUGCAGGGAGGGCAGGAAUAGGACCCAGCCUGAGGUUCGUCCUUGUUUGUGACCUAGGGAAAGGCACCAUUUGUCCAUCAGACACAGGCUCUUGGUACUUCAUUCCAUUUUGUUGAAAAAAAUUAACCAAGACGGGAGUUGUCAAAGCACUUCCCAAAGUCAGAGUGCUGUGUAAGUAUUGGCGUGAAGCACCAGACUGCCAACAACCACUUGCUUCUCCAGGCACAGAGUACAAAGGUACAAAAGUCCAGCCCCGGGCCGUCGAGCUGUCUCAUCUGGAGGAACAACGGGUCACGUGGUCUUCUUACUAUUUGCUUUGUACUGACAGCUAGUUAAGAUCUGUGACAAAGAUGAAAUUAUCCUCCUUUAACCAACAGGAAGUCAUGAAGAGACACAAAAACAAACACAGCAACAACAACAACAACAACAAAAACCAGACUGAUCACAUAAAGGGAAAAAAUUUAGAGUCCGGAUGGGGACUCAGCUUUUUUGUAUCACCUUUAUUUUGGGGACUCUUCCUUCAGUCUCUCAAGGUCUUGGCAUCUAGUAUUGUGUCCACCUCAUUUCAAGCCACCAGCCCACCAGCCUCUAUGUGUGGCAAGAACUAAAAUUGUCCUCUAAUUCCUAGGCACCAAAGUAACUAACAGUAGUGACCAGGGGGGACAGGAGAGAUUCCUCUAUUUUGCCUUUAGUAGUACAGGUCUUGUGCAGGCAACCCACACAGGUACAGACAGAAACUAAUUAUCAUAGUCUCCAUAUUUGUUAAGUUUGAGCUAGUGAGUUGUGGAGAAUGUGUUUCAUCAUCUUGCUUUGAGAAAUAAACAUUCAUAAUGAUGUAGAGA
rnacentral:lncRNA from 1 species